UUCUCUCAAGUCUUUUAGUGUUUUCCCCCUCUGUCUCUCUCACUGCACGCAGAGACGAGUUCCCAUUCCCAGGUAAGUCUCUCUCUCUCACACACACAUACUCACCCGAUCUCCUUUUUUCGUUUUGAUUUCCCCCAAAAGACUUCGAAUUUUAGGGAUUUUAUAUUGUUUCAAACCCUAGGAUUAAAAAGUUAAUGUUGUCCUCUUAAUUUUAUACUGCUACAAACCUCGAUAUAUACUUUACUGAACUUUAAUCGUUAUAACAUAAGACAUCAACCCACCUAGAAAGGGGCUUACAGUCUUCAGGAUCCAGCACUGCUGUGUUACGCCAGUCAGGGCAAGGUUUUCGACCAUCAUUCAGAGUGAUAUACUUCAUAUCUCCUAUCUACAAAUAGGAUAAUUUCAAACGAAUCUUGGAGGAGUUCAUUCAAAGCCAGUCGAUUGAUGAUCAAGGUAGGCCAAUCCAACCAACCCAAGAGGAGAUCAUGGACAUGUGGAUUAAGGUAACUGGUGGCGUGCAUAAGGGGGAGAGUUUACGACCUUGGAUCAAGAGUUUAGUCUCGGCCGUCGUACUUCUGGAUUGUCUGGUUCUUAUUCUUCAUCAUAUUUCUCGGUUGAUCUAGAUGAGUUUGAGUAAUUGAAUAGGAAGGUAGCGAAGAUUACGGAGUUGUAUCUUUAAGAAAGGGCUGCAAGGGAAGAAGAGGCAAAGCGAGGGGAGGAAGAAGAUAGGCUAAGAGAGGAAUAAAUGAGGUGAAAGGACGAUGCAUUAAGACUUGUCACUAGUGAUGUUAAAAGUCUCAAGUCUUAGAUAAACUCCCUCUUAGCAUCUGGUGCAUUUCUUGUGCCCCGUUCUCCAGCAUCUAACGAUAACUAAGAAGUAGUUUCUUUAAUUAGCUUGUCUUGGAUGGUACUUGGAUGUUGAAUAUUGAAUGUUGGAUUUUUGAGUUUUUGUUCUACUUUUGGAUUAGUUGGAUUAAUUAUGAAAUGGAUUGAUUAGUUGUUGUUAAUGAAAUGAAUUGGAUUGCAUGUUGAA